GCCAUAGACCAUACCAUGUUGAAUACACCAGUUCUCGUCUGAUCACUGAAGUUGAGCAACGUCUGGCAUAGUUACAGUACUUAAAUGGAUGACCGACCGCUCGGGAACACUACGUGCCGUUGGCA